rnacentral:rRNA from 1 species
AUUGAACGCUGGCGGCAGGCCUAACACAUGCAAGUCGAACGAGUGGCGGACGGGUGAGUAAUGUCUGGGAAACUGCCUGCUGGAGGGGGAUAACUACUGGAAACGGUAGCUAAUACCGCAUACCAUCGGAUGUGCCCAGAUGGGAGUAGCUAGUAGAGGGGGUAACGGCUCACCUAGGCGACGAUCCCUAGCUGGUCUGAGAGGAUGACCAGCAACACUGGAACUGAGACACGUUCCAGACUCCUACGGUAGGCAGCAGUGGGGAAUAUUGCACAAUGGGCGCAAGCCUGAUGCAGCCAUGCCGCGUGUGUGAAGAAGGCCUUCGGGUUGUAAAGCCCUUUCAGCGGGGAGGCGUUACCCGCAGAAGAAGCACCGGCUAACUCCGUGCCAGCAGCCGCGGUAAUAC